UACGAGAGGCCCAAACGUUAUUCGGAAUUACUGGGCGUAAAGCGCGCGUAGGCGGCUCUUCAAGUCAGGCGUGAAAGCCCCGGGCUUAACCCGGGAAUAGCGCUUGAUACUGUUGGGCUUGAGUCCGGGAGAGGAUAGUGGAAUUCCCAGUGUAGAGGUGAAAUUCGUAGAUAUUGGGAAGAACACCAGUGGCGAAGGCGGCUAUCUGGACCGGAACUGACGCUGAGGCGCGAAAGCGUGGGGAGCAAACAGG
rnacentral:rRNA from 1 species